UGGGGAAUAUUGCACAAUGGGCGCAAGCCUGAUGCAGCGACGCCGCGUGGGGGAUNNNGGCUUCGGGUUGUAAACCUCUUUCAGUAGGGACGAAGCGCAAGUGACGGUACCUACAGAAGAAGGACCGG
rnacentral:rRNA from 1 species